AACAACUUCUCUUGAUUUCUUAGAUAUUUCAAAUUGUGGUUUCCAAGGGUCAAUCCCUCCCUCUUUCUCCAACCUCAUACAUCUCACUUCCCUGGACCUUUCAGAUAACAACCUCAACGGUUCAAUCCCUCCCUCUUUCUUUAACCUCACACAUCUUACUUCCUUGGAUCUCUCAGAUAACAACCUCAACCUCAACGGUUCAAUCCCUCCCUCUUUCUCCAACCUCAUACAUCUCACUUCCCUGGACCUUUCAGGUAACAAUCUCGGUUCAAUCCCUCCCUCUUUCUUUAACCUCACACAUCUCACUUCCCUGGAUCUCUCAUUUAACAACCUCAACGGUUCAAUCCCUCCCUCUUUCUCCAACCUCAUACAUCUCACUUCCCUGGACCUCUCAGGUAACCACCUCAACGGUUCAAUCCCUCCCUCUUUCUCCAACCUCAUACAUCUUACUUCCUUGGAUCUCUCAUAUAACAACCUCAACGGUUCAAUCCCAUCCUCACUCUUGACCCUUCCACGGCUAAACUUUCUGUAU
rnacentral:lncRNA from 1 species